rnacentral:rRNA from 1 species
AUUGAACGCUGGCGGCAGGCCUAACACAUGCAAGUCGAGCGAGCGGCGGACGGGUGAGAAAUGUCUGGGAAACUGCCCGCUGGAGGGGGAUAACUCCUGGAAACGGUAGCUCAUACCGCAUACCAUCAGAUGUGCCCAGAUGGGAUUAGCUAGUAGGUGGGGUAACGGCUCACCUAGGCGACGAUCCCUAGCUGGUCUGAGAGGAUGACCAGCCACACUGGAACUGAGACACGGUCACGACGCCUACGGGAGGCAGCAGGGGGGAAGAUUGCACAAUGGGCGCAAGCCUGAUGCAGCCAUGCCGCGUGUGUUAAGAAGGCCUUCGGGUUGUAAAGCACUUUCAGCGGGGAGGCGUUACCCGCAGAAGAAGCACCGGCGAACUACGUGCCAGCAGCCGCGGUAAUAC